rnacentral:rRNA from 1 species
CCUACGGGAGGCAGCAGUGGGGAAUAUUGCACAAUGGGCGCAAGCCUGAUGCAGCAACGCCGCGUGAGCGAAGAAGGUCUUGGGAACGUAAAGCUCUGUCCUUGAGGAAAAAGGAAGUGACGGUCCUCAAGGGGGAAGCCCCGGCUAACUACGUGCAAGCAGCCGCGGUAUUACGGAGGUGGCAAGCGUUAUCCGGAAGUAUUGGGCGUAAAGAGUACGUAGGUGGUUUUGUAAGCGAGGGGUGAAAGGCAGUGGCUUAACCAUUGUAAGCCUUGCGAACUGCCAGACUUGAGUGCAGGAGAGGAAAGCGGAAUGCCCAGUGUAGCGGUGAAAUGCUUAGAUAUUAGGAAGAACACCAGUGGCGAAGGCGGCUUUCUGGACUGUAACUGACACUGAGGUACGAAAGCGUGGGGAGCAAACAGGAUUAGAUACCCGUGUAGUC